GUGACAGCUCAGCCGGUAACGCACUUGCUGUGCCAGAGAGAGAGCCCAGAAGGACAGACACUGCCUGUUCUCUCUAAUCUGAAGCUCCUCGCUCCACACAUUCAGGAGCUGGCUGAAACUGGGGAGCAGAGGCCAUCAAAGUCCAGAGCUCCUGUUCUAAAGCGGAUCACCACCAGGGUGGAGUGUGUGGGCUGGAGCUUCAGUCACACCCUCCCACACUGCCCCCAAGCAGGGCUCUUCAGUGGGAGACAAAAAACAAGAACUACCUGCAACCGCUGUUGGGAAAAGUGACAUCAGGAAAUUUGCAGGCAAAUGGAUGGAACUAGAAAAAAAAUCAUCCCAAGCAAGGCAAACCAGACCCAGAAAGACAAGCAUGAUAUGCACUCACUUAUAAGUGGAUAUUAACUGUAUAAUAAUAAUGUAUACUAACUGUAUAAUAGGAUAAUCACACUAUAAUCCACAGACCCAGAGAGGCUAAGAAACAAGGAAGGCUCUGGGGGUGAUGCCGGGAUCUCCCCUUGGAGCGGGAAAUAGAAUAGAUUUUGCAGGUGGACUAGGGGUAGAUGGAGAUGGGAAUAAGAGGGCUCAGGCUAAGGAGGGAGGAAUGAGGGAGAGACUGAACAGAGAAGCAUUUAGGGGGUACUGUGGAACCCUACUGCAGUGGAAACGCCCUGGAACCUAUGGGGGUGAGCCUAGAGGACUCCAAGCAAUGGAGGAGGAAAGCCCGAAUUGGCCAUCUUCAAUAACCUGGCAAGGAUCUCAGCAGUGGGACCACUAACCCAGCAGUAAAACCUUCAAUCCACCCCUGUCCUGCCUGCAAGAUGUUCUGAAGCAAUGGUGGCUCAGAGCUUGUGAGAGUGGUCAAUCAAGGACUGGGCUAACUGAGGUCCAUACUACAAGACGAAGCCCAUGCCCAAAACUGUCUGGAUGGUCAGGAACUAGAAGCUGGAUGGCUCAAAGACCUAGGUCAGAACCAAACACUUAUGACAGGAAGAAAAAAAAAUCACAUGCAGCAAGUGAGAGUAAUGGGAAAAGACUUGUUAACCAAUAGUCUUUAAGAGGUGGAACAUAGUUUAGGCGUGACUUUCUAGGACCGGGAGAUACAAACCUGUGCAUCACCCAGGUACGCUCUCUGUAAUUUCCCCCGUUGUCAAGCAGAGCCUGGAUCUUCCGUGCCUGUGGUGUGAGUUUUUCCCCUUAGAGUAAAUAAAAUAUAUUUGUCUAUCUUUAA